UACAACAACCUCAUGUUAAAUGACUUAAGAAUAAGGUAUCGUCAUAGACUUCAUAAUGUAUUGACAUGACACAUUCCCCAUUCACUGCAUCAUGGAUUCCAGAAGGGGGCCGUCCCACACUCUGUUCAUUUAUUAGAAAUUAGCCACAUGCAGCGAUCCAACGCUAGGUUUAGGUUGAAAAAGUACCAAAGCUGUACCGCAUACAAACAGGAAGGAUUGUCUCAGGAGUGAUUUGUUCCAGGAUUCAAGUUGCCACCUCCUCAAUGCUGAAGCAUUACUGGCCAAGCAUGAGAAUGAAGUUUCUGAUCAUCCCCAAAUAAACACAGGCUAUGGUAGCACUUACAUGACAAAGUGGGGAGUCAAGGAGGCAAUGCAACUGUAGAUGAAAUUGCAAAAGUGCAACGAUGCAUGGCUGAGCCGAACAUGGCACGCAAUGCCGAUUUUCUUCGAUACUGGAGGAGCCAAUGGAUAUCUUAUCCAAACCUCUUUCAACUGGAAAUUCUUGUGCAUGCUGGCAUUGUUGGUUCCAUGCGAGUGUGUUGUCCACAGCAGGCUUGUAAAAAAAACAAAAAAAA